AUGAAAGAUUCUUCUCCUGCAGCCACUGGUUGCUCACUUGCACCACCUACAUCUAUGGUCUUUGGUAAUAUAUCUUUGAUUCAAACUCUACUCACCAUUUCAAUCCGAAAAUUUCCAUCAAGGUUCAAGAGAAUAAUUAUAAUAUCUGGAAUAAGCAAGUUAAAGGUGUUAUCAUCACUCAUAGAGUGCCUAAACUAG